UACAGAGGGUGCGAGCGUUGUUCGGAAUUACUGGGCGUAAAGCGCGCGCAGGCGGAUCCUGCAAGUCUGGCGUGAAAUCUCACCGCUCAACGGUGAGGCUGCUUUGGAUACUGCGGAUCUGGAGACCGGUAGAGGCUGGUAGAAUUGCAGGUGUAGCGGUGGAAUGCGUAGAGAUCGGGAGGAACACCAGUGGCGAAGGCGGCCGGCUGGGGGUGACCUGACGCUGAGGCGCGAAAGCGUGGGGAGCGAACCGG
rnacentral:rRNA from 1 species